AACGCGAAGAACCUUACCCAGACUUGACAUGCACUAGACGACGUCAGAGAUGACGUUUCCCUUCGGGGCUGGUGCACAGGUGCUGCAUGGCUGUCGUCAGCUCGUGCCGUGAGGUGUUGGGUUAAGUCCCGCAACGAGCGCAACCCUUAUCAUUAGUUGCCAGCAUAUAAGGUGGGAACUCUAAUGAGACUGCCUGGGUUAACCAGGAGGAAGGUGAGGAUGACGUCAAGUCCGCAUGGCCCUUAUGUCUGGGGCUACACACGUGCUACAAUGGUCGGUACAGAAGGCAGCAGAACCGCAAGGCGAAGCAAAUCCCAAAAAGCCGAUCUCAGUUCAGAUUGUAGUCUGCAACUCGACUACAUGAAGAUGGAAUUGCUAGUAAUGGCGUGUCAGCAACAACGCCGUGAAUACGUUCCCGGGCCUUGUACACACCGAGUAUA
rnacentral:rRNA from 1 species